CGCCGCCCCCGCCCCCCUACGGGAGGCAGCAGUGGGGAAUUUUGUACAAUGGGCGCAAGCCUGAUCCAGCAAUGCCGCGUGCAGGAAGAAGGCCUUCGGGUUGUAAACUGCUUUUGUCAGGGAAGAAAUCUUCUGGGCUAAUACCCCGGGAGGAUGACGGUACCUGAAGAAUAAGCACCGGCUAACUACGUGCCAGCAGCCGCGGUAAUACGUAGGGUGCGAGCGUUAAUCGGAAUUACUGGGCGUAAAGCGUGCGCAGGCGGCUUUGCAAGACAGAUGUGAAAUCCCCGGGCUCCACCUGGGAACUGCAAAUGCGAUUGCAUGGCUGGAAUUCCGCUGAGGGUGCCGGAAAUCCCCGUGAAGCUCUGAAAAUCGUAGAUAUGCGGAGGAACACCAAUGG
rnacentral:rRNA from 1 species